AUUGAACGCUGGCGGCAGGCCUAACACAUGCAAGUCGAGCGGUAACACAGAGGAGCUUGCUCCUUGGGUGACGAGCGGCGGACGGGUGAGUAAUGCCUGGGGAUCUGCCCGAUAGAGGGGGAUAACUACGGGAAACUGUAGCUAAUACCGCAUAACGUCUACGGACCAAAGUGGGGGCUCUUCGGACCUCAUGCUAUCGGAUGAACCCAGGUGGGAUUAGCUAGUUGGUGAGGUAAUGGCUCACCAAGGCGACGAUCUCUAACUGGUUUGAUAGAAUUACCAGUCACACUGGAACUGAGACCCGGUCCAGACUCCUACGGGAGGCAGCAGUGGGGAAUAUUGCACAAUGGGCGCAAGCCUGAUGCAGCCAUGCCGCGUGUGUGAAGAAGGCCUUCGGGUUGUAGAGCACUUUCAGCGGGGAGGAAGGGUCACUAGUUAAUACCUAGUGGCAUUGACGUUACUCGCAGAAGAAGCACCGGCUAACUCCGUGCCAGCAGCCGCGGUAA
rnacentral:rRNA from 1 species